rnacentral:ncRNA from 1 species
UUCAGUGCGAUGAAGAGAAUAGUAGCUGGCAAUUCCUUUUCCCAGAGAGCUCCGGGGUGGUGAAACGGAGCAAAAGGAUUUCGGUGAAGCAAGCCUCUGAGCACCGCGUCGGAACCGGAUGGGGAUGAUGCGGCGUCUGCUCCCGUUACAGAGCUCAGGUAUAGAUCCAGUGUACCGAAUGAGGCGCAUAUGGCGACAUAUGGGCGAACAGGGGUGGCACCACGACCGGAAUCUCGUCCCCAAG